rnacentral:lncRNA from 1 species
AUUAUUCACAACAGCCAAGAUGUAGAGGUGAUUCAAAUGUCCAUCAGUGAAUGAAUAGAUAAAGAAAUGUGGUAUAUACAUACAAUGGAAUCUUAGCCUAAAAAAGAAAGAAUUCCUGUCAUAUGCUACAGCAUGGAUGAACCUUGAGGACCUUAUGUCCGAGGAUGAACACACAAGAGAUUCACAGGAACAAACCAGACCACUGACUUGCUGCACUGAAGUUGCAAUACUUCUGAGACGUAGAUCUCCUUAUUAAUCUAGCUCAGUGUUUUGUUACCUGCAGCACAGAAACACUUUCCCUGAAAAACAGAUACAACUUUUAAAGCAUAAUUUUUAUUCUUUAGGUAUUCUGAUCUCACCCCACAGGCCUUGGAAACCUGAGGCAGUAUUCUUCUGGGAUGUUUCCAACUAGGCUUCCCAUGAGGAUGUUAGAGCCAGCCUGGCUGGUGAAUUUUACUUCUCUCACCUCUCAGAGGUAAGAGGUCUGAGAGGCUCAGGCCCUUCCAGCUUUUGAGGAUUCCAGCAUAGUAGAAACAUAAAAAGGUCCAAAGGGAAUUACAAAAAUAAUCUAUUUUCAGUUCUUAUACUUAACAAGUCAAUUCUUAUUAAAAAAAUAAAUCAAUCA